rnacentral:rRNA from 1 species
AUUGAACGCUGGCGGCAUGCUUUACACAUGCAAGUCGAACGGUAACAGGCCGCAAGGUGCUGACGAGUGGCGAACGGGUGAGUAAUGCAUCGGAACGUGCCCAGUCGUGGGGGAUAACGCAGCGAAAGCUGCGCUAAUACCGCAUACGAUCUGUGGAUGAAAGCGGGGGACCGUAAGGCCUCGCGCGAUUGGAGCGGCCGAUGUCGGAUUAGGUAGUUGGUGGGGUAAAGGCUCACCAAGCCGACGAUCUGUAGCUGGUCUGAGAGGACGACCAGCCACACUGGGACUGAGACACGGCCCAGACUCCUACGGGAGGCAGCAGUGGGGAAUUUUGGACAAUGGGCGCAAGCCUGAUCCAGCAAUGCCGCGUGCAGGAAGAAGGCCUUCGGGUUGUAAACUGCUUUUGUACGGAACGAAACGGCUCUGGUUAAUACCUGGGGCUAAUGACGGUACCGUAAGAAUAAGCACCGGCUAACUACGUGCCAGCAGCCGCCGUAAGAC